UCAAGCGAACAAGUGCAUGUGGUGGAUGCCUUGGCGAUCACAGGCGAUGAAGGACGCGGUAGCCUGCGAAAAGCCCCGGGGAGCUGGCAAACGAGCUUUGAUCCGGGGAUGUCCGAAUGGGGAAACCCACUCCGUAUGGAGUAUCCAUAGCUGAAUACAUAGGCUAUGUGAAGCGAACGCGGUGAACUGAAACAUCUAAGUAACCGCAGGAAAAGAAAUCAACCGAGAUUCCCAAAGUAGUGGCGAGCGAAAUGGGAAGAGCCUGUACGUGUUAUCUGUGUUGUUAGCUGAACGCUCUGGAAAGUGCGGCCAUAGCAGGUGAUAGCCCUGUAAGCGAAAACAGCGUGGAAGAACUAGGCGUACGACAAGUAGGGCGGGACACGUGAAAUCCUGUCUGAAGAUGGGGGGACCAUCCUCCAAGGCUAAAUACUCGUGAUCGACCGAUAGUGAACCAGUACCGUGAGGGAAAGGCGAAAAGAACCCCGGGAGGGGAGUGAAAUAGAUCCUGAAACCGCAUGCAUACAAACAGUCGGAGCCUCGUAAGGGGUGACGGCGUACCUUUUGUAUAAUGGGUCAGCGACUUACGUUCAGUAGCAAGCUUAACCGAUUAGGGCAGGCGUAGCGAAAGCGACCGCUUUAAGCGCUUUCGGCGCGUUCAUGAAAUGAACGCGUCAAAAGAACGCAAUGCUGAAAUAGCAAGACUCAGCGCUUAAAGAGGGAUUUAAGCGCGAGAGCGCUUAAAGCGGGGUGACGGCGUACCUUUUGUAUAAUGGGUCAGCGACUUACGUUCAGUAGCAAGCUUAACCGAUUAGGGCAGGCGUAGCGAAAGCGAGUCCGAAUAGGGCGUUCAGUUGCUGGGCGUAGACCAGUCCGAAUAGGGCGUUCAGUUGCUGGGCGUAGACCCGAAACCAAGUGAUCUAUCCAUGGCCAGGUUGAAGGUGCGGUAACACGUACUGGAGGACCGAACCCACUAACGUUGAAAAGUUAGGGGAUGAGCUGUGGAUAGGGGUGAAAGGCUAAACAAACUUGGAAAUAGCUGGUUCUCUCCGAAAACUAUUUAGGUAGUGCCUCGUGUCUCACCUUCGGGGGUAGAGCACUGUCAUGGUUGAAGGGUCCAUUGCGGAUUACUUCGCCAUAGCAAACUCCGAAUACCGAAGAGUGCAAUCACGGGAGACAGACAUCGGGUGCUAACGUCCGGUGUCAAGAGGGAAACAACCCAGACCGCCAGCUAAGGUCCCCAAAUAUGGCUAAGUGGGAAACGAAGUGGGAAGGCUAAAACAGUCAGGAGGUUGGCUUAGAAGCAGCCACCCUUUAAAGAAAGCGUAAUAGCUCACUGAUCGAGUCGUCCUGCGCGGAAGAUGUAACGGGGCUAAGCCAUAUACCGAAGCUGCGGAUGCAUGCGCAAGCAUGCAUGGUAGGAGAGCGUUCCGUAAGCCUGCGAAGGUGUCUUGUAAAGGAUGCUGGAGGUAUCGGAAGUGCGAAUGCUGACAUGAGUAGCGAUAAAGGGGGUGAAAGGCCCCCUCGCCGUAAGCCCAAGGUUUCCUACGCAACGUUCAUCGGCGUAGGGUGAGUCGGCCCCUAAGGCGAGGCAGAAAUGCGUAGCUGAUGGGAAGCAGGUCAAUAUUCCUGCACCAUUGUUAGAUGCGAUGGGGGGACGGAUCGCGGAAGGUUGUCCGGGUGUUGGACGUCCCGGUCGCUGCAUUGGAGAAGGCGCUUAGGCAAAUCCGGGCGCGUAAUUCAAGGGUGUGGCGCGAGCGGCUUUAUGCUGCGAAGCAAUCGGAAGUGGUUCCAAGAAAAGCCUCUAAGCUUCAGUCUAACGAUGACCGUACCGCAAACCGACACAGGUGGGCGAGAUGAGUAUUCUAAGGCGCUUGAGAGAACUCGGGAGAAGGAACUCGGCAAAUUGGUACCGUAACUUCGGGAUAAGGUACGCCCUUGUAGCUUGACUGGCCUGCGCCAGAAGGGUGAAAGGGUUGCAAUAAACUGGUGGCUGCGACUGUUUAAUAAAAACACAGCACUCUGCAAACACGAAAGUGGACGUAUAGGGUGUGACGCCUGCCCGGUGCCGGAAGAUUAAAUGAUGGGGUGCAAGCUCUUGAUUGAAGUCCCGGUAAACGGCGGCCGUAACUAUAACGGUCCUAAGGUAGCGAAAUUCCUUGUCGGGUAAGUUCCGACCUGCACGAAUGGCGUAACGAUGGCCACACUGUCUCCUCCCGAGACUCAGCGAAGUUGAAGUGUUUGUGAUGAUGCAAUCUCCCCGCGGCUAGACGGAAAGACCCCAUGAACCUUUACUGUAGCUUUGCAUUGGACUUUGAACCGAUCUGUGUAGGAUAGGUGGGAGGCUAUGAAACCGGAACGCUAGUUUCGGUGGAGCCGUCCUUGAAAUACCACCCUGGUUUGUUUGAGGUUCUAACCUUGGCCCGUGAUCCGGGUCGGGGACAGUGCAUGGUAGGCAGUUUGACUGGGGCGGUCUCCUCCCAAAGUGUAACGGAGGAGUACGAAGGUACGCUAGGUACGGUCGGAAAUCGUGCUGAUAGUGCAAUGGCAUAAGCGUGCUUAACUGCGAGACCGACAAGUCGAGCAGGUGCGAAAGCAGGUCAUAGUGAUCCGGUGGUUCUGUAUGGAAGGGCCAUCGCUCAACGGAUAAAAGGUACUCUGGGGAUAACAGGCUGAUACCGCCCAAGAGUUCAUAUCGACGGCGGUGUUUGGCACCUCGAUGUCGGCUCAUCUCAUCCUGGGGCUGUAGCCGGUCCCAAGGGUAUGGCUGUUCGCCAUUUAAAGAGGUACGUGAGCUGGGUUUAAAACGUCGUGAGACAGUUUGGUCCCUAUCUGCCGUGGGCGUUGGAUAUUUGAAGGGGGCUGCUCCUAGUACGAGAGGACCGGAGUGGACGAACCUCUGGUGUACCGGUUGUCACGCCAGUGGCAUCGCCGGGUAGCUAUGUUCGGAAGAGAUAACCGCUGAAAGCAUCUAAGCGGGAAACUCGCCUUAAGAUGAGAUAUCCCCGGGGACCUGAUCCCCUUGAAGGGUCGUUCGAGACCAGGACGUUGAUAGGUCGGGUGUGUACACGCAGUAAUGCGUUCAGCUAACCGAUACUAAUUGCCCGUACGGCUUGAUCCU
rnacentral:rRNA from 1 species